rnacentral:lncRNA from 1 species
AGAGAGAGAGAGAGAGAGGUUGGAAGAGAAUGGGCUGAUGGCCCUCUGCCCUGGCCAUUUCCCUCUCUUCUUUUCCUCUUCCUUGCUGGCCCGUCUAAGCCGGCGACCAUGCCUUCUCCCCCAUACGUCCUUUCAAUCUCCCUCCGGCUCUCUCUGCCGCACGACCCUCCUCCCAAGGUCUCCCCGUUGGCGCACAGUCUCUCUUCCUCCGCCCUCCCUGUUCAUCACUCUCAGCCGCCACAGACCACAGAUCCCUUCUACGAACCUAGCGUUUAUGGCACGUUGAUCUCGCGGUAACGAAACCUGUCAUGAACCAAAAUGAACCAUGCUAAAAUAUUUCAUCAGUACGAUAAUUUUAUGCCUAAGUUUUAAAGAUAGGCACGAUGGAACUCACGACAGUGACGUCAUGAGAGAUACGAUUCAUGAGCAAGUUCACUUGAUGCCUGCGACCCCUACCGUUGAUCCACUACGAGGGCAGGAAAUGAACGAUCAAAGAAGUCCAGAAAUCUAGUUUUAAUAUAUGCAUAAAAUUGAUGCUAUAGACGACUAUUGCCCGUGAGAUUAUUCAUACAGAUGACUCAGUCGAUACUCAUGUUAUAAAAACUCGUAUGCCACAUUAACCUAAGUAAGCGCAGCUGAUGCAACACGAUAGAUGCCGGGAUCGACUAGC